CUCGUAGGCGGCCAACUAAGUCGGAUGUGAAAUCCCCAGGCUUAACCUGGGAACUGCAUCCGAUACUGGUUGGCUUGAAUCCGGGAGAGGGAUGCAGAAUUCCAGGUGUAGCGGUGAAAUGCGUAGAUAUCUGGAGGAAUACCGGUGGCGAAGGCGGCAUCCUGGACCGGCAUUGACGCUGAUGAGCGAAAGCUAGGGGAGCAAACG
rnacentral:rRNA from 1 species